AUGCAUGAGUAUUUUUAGGUGGAGACGCUGCUAGGGAAACCCAGUGUAAGCUUGACAGAUACCAAGGGUAGUACAUAAAAAGUGUUUGUGGUGAUGUGUGCAACCAGGGCAGGAGGUUUGAGCUGGGGUGUUCUGCAGAGGGCGAUCGGGAAGAUCUCUCCCUCUUGUCGUUCUUGAGUUGGUACGAUCCAUCGUUUCUCUCCCCUUAUCUGUUCUGCAAGCUGAGCUGAGUUCCAGAUGAGCGCGGCGCGUUAGCGGAGUGGGAUGGCGGUGGGGAGAGUUAGGGCUUGUUUUGCAAAACCUUUUGCUGGCUUGGAGCAAUUCUAUUUUAAAGUAGUGUAAUUGCUUAGGAAAGCUUAUUUUCCAUUUCCAGUUGAGCUUUGGGGGGGAGUGGAGGGGAAACAGCUUAAGAAGAAAAGCACAGUUGAGUUUUUUUAAAAACGCUGCUUUUUUAGGAUUUGCGUGUUUUUGUGCAGUGAUUAUUUCGGCAGAGUUCUCUCUUUUUAAAUGAGCCAUAUACUUUAUAUAUAACUUUAAAGGGCCAGAAAAGCUAGUCUGCCCCUUUGCUCCUGUGUGAAGCUGACAUGCAACAUGCAAAAGCUGUUUACUUUUUUAAAACAGAGCUAGCUCUGUUUAUUUAACACUUAACUACUGGCAGUUCCCAAAAAAGGGGAGUGUGUUUGUGGAAAGGUAGUCAUUUUUACAGAACUGCUGUCAGUAUAAACCACCCAAUGUAAAUUUUACUUCAAAAGGGAAUUGGUUGUCUCACUGUAGUGAGAAAUGCUGUUGCAAAGGGUUGCGUUUAAAUUAAAAAGGACAAUUAAACCUAAAAGCUUGGAGAAUCCAGCUUUUUUCAUUUUUUAAAAAGGCUGUUGCUGUUUGUUCCAGAAACAAGUAGUUUGGUUGCAGUUACUAGCAAUGGUUAAAUGGAACUGCAAUGGCUAGGAAGUGUGUGAAAUGCAAACUAUGGGGCAGUUGCUAUCCUAAUAGCCCUGCUUUUGCACUUUUCAGAGGAAUUGAGUUGUGUGCCUGAGGAUUUAGCAGUUUUUUUUCUAAAGGAAAACGCUGGGAUCCCCCCCCCCCCUUAAUUGGUUCUUAACUAGAUGUUCCACCUGGUGGUUAAUCUGGUUGAAUGCAGGUGUUGGCUGUUAGUGAUAAAUAGGGAUGAUUUCUCUUACCUGUCCUUCCUGAGGUCUCAGCACACAUUAGAGCAGUGUUUUUCAACCUUUUUUGGGCAAAGGCACACUUGUUUCAUGGAAAAAAAUCGCAAGGCACACCACCAUUAGAAAAUGUUAAAAAAAUUAACUCUGAGCCUAUAUUGACUAUAUAUAAAGUAAUUCUCUUGAAUAGGAAUCAAAUAAACACAAAGAAAGUAUUUUAUAAUUACUUUAUUAUGAAAUAGUAAGUAAACAGAAAUAUGAAAAAAUAUAAAAUACUUUAUUCAGUGCGCAACCUGGGCCUGUUUGGCUGAACACAAAGCUGAUAUUCUGGCUGGAAUCGAAGAAAGACACAAACGUAGCUCUUCGUCAACAGCUCUCAGUCUCUCUCUGUAUUUAGUUUUUAUAGCAAUCAUGCUUGAAAAGCUCAUCUCACACAGAUAUGUAGUGGAAAAUGGGAGCAAUGUCAAAAUAGCUUUGUUUGCCAGAAGGGGGAACUCCUUGGCAGUAUCCAACCAAAAGCUGUCCAAAGGUAGAUCAGCAAAUCUUAGCUUGAAACCACGAUUUUGUCUCAGUUCAGUUAGUUCCUCCUGCUCCUGUAAAGUCAUGUCCUUUCCACCAACUGAUGCUGAGCUAUAAGGGUCCCUAACCCAGUCAAGGCAUUCAGUGGAGACUGAAGAGAAAUAAAAUGACAACUUCUCCGGUCCUCCUGGUGACUCGAGUCGCGAUGUCUUCUUCUCUCCGCUGCUGCGCACACUGUGCUCGGGCGGGAAGGAAGUCGGAAGAUGAUGUCCUACUGUGAUAGGUCCAGGCUGGAGUCUGGACCAAUCACAGCCCGGACAUCAGAAAAGUGGAGGGUGUCCCCCUGAGGAGCGCCAAUCGGCGCCCCUGCUGGCCGAGGGUGGGGUCAAAAACCCCCCCAUACCCACGACACAGUUCGGCGCCCCCCUAGUGGGCGAAAAAUUGAAUUUUAUUUUUAAAAAAUCUUUCGAAUUUUUCAAUUUUUCCCACAGCACACCGGGCAAAACACUGCAUUAGAGCAUUAAAAAGAAUAAAAAGUGGCUUUUAAAGAACUUUCAAUUAUAAAAGUAGAAUUACUGGUAAAAACAAAGUGAAACUAAAACCAGCAAAAAGAAAAGCAAUUUGAAUUAAAAGUUAAGAUGAUUUGGGGAAGGUUUGAUCUACUGGUUCUAUGUUUCAUACCUUGCCCAGUUAGCCCUGCUAGUUGCAAGUUUGCCAAGAAGGCCCCGGGAAUUGGGGUGGAGGCAUUCCAUGGGAUUACCAAGCACGAAAGGCACCGAAGUGAGGGGUUUUUGUAACCAGAGGUGGAAAUUUUGCAGCUGCAAAAUGCUUUUCAAUUAAACAGCAGCUCCUGACUCUGGGGAAUAGGUGGUUAAGAGCCAGGAGAAAGAUGGGUGGUGUGGAGGUUUGCAAAACAAGCUAAAAGAGUAUGGGAAAGGUCUCUGAUCACACAAGGUUCCUUAAAUUACUGCAGAAAUAGGCUCAAAACCAACUUCAGCAUGCGAUAUCACUUGGUGCUUCUGCUGAACCUUACCCAUAUAUACCAGAAUUCUGCUAGUCUUUAAGGCAGGGGUCCUCCAACUUCUUAAACCUAGCCAUGUGUAGGGGUAGGCCUGGGUGUAAAAGUUUGGCAUAAAAUUUAUACACCGCUUUAAUAACAAACUCAGUGGGUUUGCAAAGACUCAAAUGAUGGCAUUAGCAGUGAAAGCUAUUUAAAACACUCAAGAAUUAAAAUCUGCAAUUGACUAAAAGUUUUAAACACGUUUAAUACAUUAGCUUUUUGCAUUAGAAAUGCCUCUAUUCAGUCAGAAUCUACAGAGCGCUGCAUAGCUUUGAGAAAUCUUAAGUGUUUGAGUGGACCACUCCCCAAUGCUAAAGGACUAUGUACUUCUGAAAUGCUCCUACAAACUAGGCAGCCCUCCAUUUUGCACCUUUAUUGGGUGAUUACCUGAAUUCAUUGGGUUUUCAGGGAGAGGAAUUUGGAUGAAGAAAUGUUUUUUGUGUUAUAGUAUUGUCAUGUGAAAUAUCAGGGAGUACAACAAGGAAACAAAAGAAAAGCCAUUCAAAACAAUGAAAAAUAAUUAAAGUACCUAGCUAAGAAAACAAAAUGAAAGUCUCUUCUCAGCUGCUGUUAAUCUGCAUUCAGCUGUUCCGGGACCUUAAUGUGAUCAGGUUUCUUAGGAAUUCCUAUACAUAAUUUUGAUAGACUUUUAAGAAAGCUAACCAAGUUUUUGAUGCCCAAGAAGGAAAGGCAGAACAGAAAGAAGUGUUUAUAUGACAGAUUUACAGUUUUAAAAACUUACCUUCACAGGUGUUUUGGGUUAAAUUUGGUUAUUAAUCAAAAUACAAAACAAAUUGCAUUUUUCAGAUGAGGUUUUUUAAAAAAUUGCGUUAGGUCUUUGUUUCCGCCUCGAGAAGCAGGUGUAGGACAGGAAAAUUGUGCUUGUUUGCUUUUCUCUUAUCAAGUGUAGGUUAGACCUUUUUUAAAGACCUACCACCCAUGGUAAAAUUGGUAAAGUACCACUUGACCUUUUUUAAAAAGCACAACUAAGAAGGCUUUGUUGCAAGGUUUAGAUUUCUUAACAGUCACUACUUUUUGUGAAAUGAGCAGAGUUGGAUGACAAUUGUAUAUUUCCAUUAAGACCAGAAUUGUAUUCAGUUUUGCUAAUGUGCCAACUGAAUAAAGGAAAUUAAGAGAAAAAGUACAAGAAUGUGACAACGUAAUAUUAUAUAUAAACAGCAAUUAAUCUAAAACUGAAAUGGGUACACUCUCUAGGACUUCGAGAUGUUAACUGUUAAACAAGCUAUUUAUGCUUUGCAGUUUGCUUGCAGCUAAAGCACAUAAUGAAGUAUUAUCUAUUACAUGCGGGUAAAAGUCCUUACAAGAUAUGCUACUUGAUGAGUAGGUUGUUGAGCUAGAUGAAAUGUGGCUUGGGAUUUUUUGUGUGCAUUGCUAUCCUUCGAAGAACAUUGCAAUUACAGUGGUGCCUCGCAAGACGAAAUUAAUUCGUUCCGCAAGUCUCUUCGUCUUGCGAGUUUUUCGUCUUGCGAUGCACGGUUUCCCAUAGGAAUGCAUUGAAAAUCAAUUAAUGCGUUCCUAGGAAGCCGCCUUCAGACCAGGUCCGGGGACAGUCUGUCCCCGGACCUCUUCUGAAGGCUGGGGGAGGCAAGGGCUUUCUUCCCACCCCCAGCAUUUUAAAAACCCGGGACAGCGGAGGACUUCUCCGCUGUCAGGCGAUCUUAAAAUGCUGGCGGGCGGCAUUUUAAAAUCACCCGGGACAGCGGAGGACUUCUCCGCUGUCCGGGGCAAUUAAAGCCCCUGGGAAGGCAGGCAGGGGGACAAAGACUUUGCCCCCGCCAGCCUUCAGAAGAGUCCUGGACCUCUUCUGAAGGCGGGCGGGGCGAAGUCUUUGCUCCCCCGCCUUCAAAAGCCCUCCCGGGACAGGCAGGCAGGGGAGCAAGACUUUCGCCCCCGCCCGCCUUCAGAAGGUCUUCCCUCCCCCCGCCCGGCCGGGCACCGUUCCGAGCCGGGCGCGGCGGAGGUCUUCCCUCCCCCGCCCGGCCGGAGCACCGUUCCGAAGCCGGGCGGCGGCGGCAGGUGUUCCCUCCCCCGCCCGGCCCGGGCACCGUUCCGAAGCCGGGCGGCGCGGAGGUCUUCCCUCCCCCCGCCCGGCCGGGCACCGUUCCGAGCCGGGCGGCGGCGGCAGGUGUUCCCUCCCCCCGCCCGGCCGGGCACCGUUCCGAAGCCGGGCGGUGCGGCAGCAGUGUUCCCUCCCCCCGCCCGGCCGGAGGAGCCUUCCGAGCCCGGCGGCGGCGGGAGGAGGUGUCCCCGCCCCGCCGCCAGGCUUCGGAGGAGGUCCGAGGACAGUGGGGAAGACGCGCUGCGCUUCCCCGCUGUCCCUGAGAUUUCCCUAUGGGCUGUCGUCUUGCGAAGCAAGCCCAUAGGGAAAUUCGUUUUGCGAAGCGCCUCCAAAACGGAAAACCCUUUCGUCUAGCGGGUUUUCCGUCUUGCGAGGCGUUCGUCUUGCGGGGUACCACUGUAGUGGUUUACAUUCUCCAUUCCAUAGCAGUUUCCCAGCAAAUUUGUGUACCUGUUGUCUACUGCCCCCAGAUGGCAGAAGAUUUAAUCUGUUGGGGAAAAGGCCUACAGAUUUUUCAUGCCCUCCCUUUUUUGUGUGGAAAAAGAAUGAUAAAGUUGAGAAUUUUUGAAUGUUGUCAAAACUUUCUUACCUAUCUUGCUCUUUAUCUAACCUGUCCCAUUACUUUUCUGUCUUAAAUGAGCCGAAAAUUAUUGUGGCAGACUACAUUUCUGUAACAAAUUUUGGAUUCUUACUGAGUUGCUUUUUCUGAGUGGGACUCGUAGCUUCUGCCUCCGGGAUUUAAGGGGUGAUAACCCUCACCCAAAUGAUAAAAAAGCAUAGUGAAAGUAUUUUCCAAGGGAAAACGGAUAGAGUGAAGGAGGUGGUGGGUUCAGUUCCAUGGUAGGACCUGAAACCCAAUUGAAAAGGAAGGAUCCCAGAAGACAUUGACAAGAAUGACCAGAAACUGUUACACACAACAACGGCGGCGAGGUUAUUGCUGGCUCAGAUAUGGAAACAGCAAAAGUUGCCUACAAUAGAAGAAUGGCAGUACAAGGUUAUGGAAUAUGCAGAAAUAGCCAAAUAAACAGUAAAAAUUUGACAUCAGGGGGAUGAAACAUCAAAAAGAAUGGGGGAAAUUUAUGUUACAAAUAGAGAUGAUGUGAAAUAGGGGACCAGUAGAAUAAAAAUAAUAUCUCAUAACGGGAAAAUAGAAGAAAUUUACUGGAUAAUAAUAUCUUAAUGAAUUAAAAAAAUGUAUAUUAGGACUAUUAUUGAACAAUAUUUGUAAAUGAAUAUAGACAGACAACAAGAACUUGUAUACAGUGGUGCCUCGCAAGAGGAAAUUAAUCCGUUCCGCGAGUCUCUUCGUCUUGCGGUUUUUUCGUCUUGCGAAGCACGGCUAUUAGCGGCUUAGCGGCUAUUAACGGCUUAGCGGCUUUAAGAAAAAAGAAACAAACUUGCAAGACGUUUCGUCCUGCGAAGCAAGCCCAUAGGGAAAUUCGUCUUGCGGAACGACUCAAAAAACGGAAAACUCUUUCGUCUUGCGCGUUUUUCGUCUUGCGAGGCAUUUGUCUUGCGAGGCAUUCGUCUUGCGAGGUACCACUGUAUAUAGAAAGAUUUGUUUACGGACAUUUAAUGGAAAAAAUGUCAUCUGGAGAAAAGGUCUGCGUCCUCCAAAUGUCCUUUGGAGUUGUUAAGUGACCACUCACUCCAUCCCCUUUCCCAGGAAUAUGGAAUAUUGGAGAUUAAUCGGCCCUAAUGGCCGGGUCCAAAUAUGGUUUGAAGAAGCAGUUUGAUUAUGGCUUCUUGCAGGGGUCCUGUGAGGACUCUCAACAGAGGGAAGCAUUCCCCACCCCACAGCCCAGUCCUGCCUGCCUGCCUUUUAUGAAUCAGGAUGGGCAAGGAUCAAGGAGACAGGUUUCACUCGUCCAAGCAGCCUGUCCACAUCCUCAGAGGUAACAGGUUGAGAUUUAUCCCAUACAACUUGACUAGACAGCGCUCUGGCACUCUCCGGCCCCGGCCCCCCACGGUGGAGUCUACUUCUUUACAAAUUGUAACAAAAUAGUUACAGUAAUAAUAAUUUAUUAUUUAUACCCCUGCCCAUCUGGCUGGGUUUCCCCAGCCACUCUGGGCAGCUUCCAAUAAAACGCUAAAGUACAUUAAACCUAUUAAACAUUCAAAGCUUCCCUAAACAGGAGAUCUUGGGUGUCUUUAUUGGACCCCAAUGGCAAAGAUGGUUCUGUUAGACUACAAACCUCCUGAAAGAGUUUCCUGUCCUCUGGUGAUGCAGAAGUUGCCGAAUGAGGUCCUCUUUACCGUCACUAUUGCCACUUGGUAGGCUCAGUGUUUAAAUUUGGAGAAAAUCAAAAGAGAAAGAUGUUUGACAUGCAUAAAUCAAGAUAAUAUAAAGGAACCAGGGGAGGGAGUUGGAAGGAAGUCAAGGGAUUUGAGUAAUCCCAAAAUGUGGAUUUAAUGAAAGAUUUCAAUCUGUAUUCACAUAUUUUGUGCUUACAUUUUUUUAUUUAGUUUUAAUGUGAUUUUGUUUAAUUGUGAGACUACUUUAAAAAAUAGUAAAAACCGAUGCAUGCUUGCUGUAAUAAGCUUGGCCCUAUGCUUUCUUUUAACUCACACAAAGUUGUUCCCCCUGCCUUUUCAAUAGCAAGCCCAAAGGUUUUCUUUUUUUUUUAUAUAAGGUAUUUAUUAAAGUU